AUGGAUGUCCAGCUUUCUCAACUCCUCGAUGAAUUACGCUGGAAACUGACUAAGUCUGGAGUAUUCACGGUUAAAUCAAUGUAUAUUGAUGUAAUUAAUUCGAGCUCCAUUCCUACCUCCAAGCAUGUUUGGGCUGUCAAAGUUCCUUCGAAAAUAAAAGUGUUUAUGUGGUUUCUCCAUAAACAGGUUAUUUUAACCAAGGAUAAUUUGAUUAAGCGUAAUUGGACAGGACCUACGAGGUGUAGCUUCUGUGAUCGGGACGAGACGAUCAAACAUCUCUUUUUUGAUUGCCCAUUGGCCAGAGUACUUUGGCGGACGGUUCACAUUGCUUUUAAUAUUACUCCACCGAUUUCUGUCACUUCGUUAUUUGGGACAUGGCUCACUGGGAUUGAGCCUGAAUUAGCGAGACAUAUUCGUGUUGGAGUUUGCGCUUUGUUGUGGACUAUCUGGACUUGCAGGAAUGAUUUGGUUUUUAACAGAACAUCACGUGUUCACUUUUUGCAGGUUAUUUUCCGAGCUACGGCCGUGAUCCGUUCAUGGUCGCUACUCACUCCGAUGGAGGCCAGGGAGUGUUUGGUUACUGGAUCUAUCCGCUGGGAGAUGGUAGCUCGGGAUAUCUUCAACCGGUUUGGAUGGCGGUCAUGUAAUAGGAUAGGCAAUUAG
rnacentral:rRNA from 1 species